rnacentral:rRNA from 1 species
AGUGAACGCUGGCGGUAGGCCUAACACAUGCAAGUCGAACGGCAGCACAGGAGAGCUUGCUCUCUGGGUGGCGAGUGGCGGACGGGUGAGGAAUACAUCGGAAUCUACUCUGUCGUGUGGGAUAACGUAGGGAAACUUACGCUAAUACCGCAUACGACCUACGGGUGAAAGCAGGGGAUCUUCAGACCUUGAGCGAUUGAAUGAGCCGAUGUAGUGUUAGCUAGUUGGCGGGGUAAAGGCCCACCAAGGCGGGGAUCCGUAGCUGGCCUGAGAGGAUGAUCAGCCACACUGGAACUGAGACACGGUCCAGACUCCUACGGGAGGCAGCAGUGGGGAAUAUUGGACAAUGGGCGCAAGCCUGAUCCAGCCAUACCGCGUGGGUGAAGAAGGCCUUCGGGUUGUAAAGCCCUUUUGUUGGGAAAGAAAUCCAGCUGGCUAAUACCCGGUUGGGAUGACGGUACCCAAAGAAUAAGCACCGGCUAACUUCGUGCCAGCAGCCGCCGUAA